ensembl:lncRNA
GGGAAACCGUCUUUCCCCUUGUGCCCAGUGCCUGAAUAGCUCUUACCUUUCGUAACAGGGUCAUGGCAUUCAUUCCACCUCAUGAGCCAACCUUUCUGUUUUCGGCACUUACCUGCCAUCAAAAGCCAAGUGUUUUAGAACUUUCAUUCAACUCUCCCAGAUGAAGAAACUGAGACUGAGAGAGGUUAAGUAACUUUCCCACGAUCACACAGAAAUUCUUUGGAGUUGUUCUCUGGAAAAUUUCCUGAAAUUGCCAAGAAUCUGCCACUUUCAAUAAUAUCAACUCUGAAAGAGAGAGAAAGGCUAGGAGAGACCACGGGGGACAGAAGUGUUGAUUGCCGCCCAUGGCCAUGCUGGU